rnacentral:lncRNA from 10 species
AUUUUAUUUAUUUUGUUUUGAGACAGAGUCUCACUCUGUCGUCCAGGCUGGAGUGCAAAAGCAUGAUCUUGGCUCAUUGCAACCUCCACCUCCCAGGUUCAAGCGAUUCUCCUGCCUCAGCUGGGAUUGCAAGCCUGUGCCAAGCCCGGCUAAUUUUUGUAUUUUUGGUAGAGACUGGGGUUUCACUACAUUGGCCAGGCUGAUCUCGAACUCCUGACCUCAGGUGAUCCACCCGCACUGGCCUCCCAAAGUGCUGGGAUUACAGGCGUGAGCCACUGUGCCUGGCCAGGUUGUGUGUUUUCUCUGUUGGAGGCCCUUGGUAAUGCUGGGGCUGCUAAGUUUUGAAAACCUAAGAGUUUUAUUUUCUAAAGCAGAAUACAUUCCAUUAACUUGACAUCCUUUAAAAAGUUAUUAAGGCCGGGCAUGGUGGCUCACGCCUGUAAUCCCAGCACUUUGGGAGGCCGAGGCGGGCGGAUCAUGAGGUCAGGAGAUCGAGACCAUCCUGGCUAACACAGUGAAACCCCGUCUCUACUAAAAAAUACAAAAAAAAUUACCCGGUCAUGGGUGGCAGGCGCCUGUAGUGCCAGCUACUCGGGAGGCUGAGGCAAGAGAAUGGCGGGAACCGGGGAGGCGGAGCUUGCAGUGAGCUGAGAUUGCGCCAUUGCACUCCAGCCUGGGCGACAGAGGGAGACUCUGUCUCAAAAAAAAAAAAAAAAAAAAAAAAAUAGCUGGGCGUGGUGACACGUGCCUGUAGUCCCAGCUACUCAGGAGGUUGAGGCAGAAUUGCUUGAAUCUGGGAGGCAGAGGUUGCAGUGAGCUGAGACCGUGCCAUUGCACUCCAGCCUGGGUGACAGAGCGAGACUCCACCUAAAAAAAAAAAAAAAGAAAAAAAAGGUUAUUCCAUGGAGGUAUUUUAAUUAUGCAAUAAAAGGCAGAAGCGACUUUACUGCUACAACUCCCAGAGCAAUUGUUUGCAUGUAGGUUUUUUUCCAGUCUCCAAGGGGUCUUGAUUUUCGAAGCCACUAUCACCCCAGCAAACACCUGUGAAGCUGAAGGCAUCUCUUUCCGCUGUUCUCUCCCAUGCACUGCCCUUGAUCAGCCUUCAAAAUCCAGGGUCCUUGGGGUCACCGGGCUCUGGAAGGGAGCCCACAGGUUGAUCUCUCCAGUUCCACUUACCUCUCCCCCUCGUAUCGUAGUAUUUGCUGCCUCUCCCUUUCCCACAAAACCUGCAAGUUUCUUAAGACUGGGGGUGGGCUUUUUUUCAUCAUUGUAUCCCAUUCCCACUGCAUGGCAUUCCACGGUAUGUGUCCCAUUAAUCUCAAAUGAAAAGCAUUCUUCUUCUUUCCCCACAGAGGCCAGUUUAGGAAACAGGAGCCCUGGCAUUGUCAUGCCCUUGGGGGAAUUGUGGAUAAGGACUGGGUUAAGGAUGAAAUGACUUUUUUCACUUUUGUGAUCUCUGUAGGCUUCCCAGGGGUGCUGAGCACUAGUGCUGAGUGCAGAGAUGAGCGAUGCCGGAGACCAUCAUCUCCUCCACCUAACUCGGCUUCCCAGGGGUGCUGAGCACUAGUGCUGAGUGCAGAGAUGAGCGAUGCCGGAGACCAUCAUCUCCUCCACCUAACUCGGCUUCCCAGGGGUGCUGAGCACUAGUGGUGAGUGCAGAGAUGAGCGAUGCCGGAGACCAUCAUCUCCUCCACCUAACUCGGCUUCCCAGGGGUGCUGAGCACUAGUGGUGAGUGCAGAGAUGAGCGAUGCCGGAGACCAUCAUCUCCUCCACCUAACUCGGCUUCCCAGGGGUGCUGAGCACUAGUGGUGAGUGCAGAGAUGAGCGAUGCCGGAGACCAUCAUCUCCUUCACCUAACUCGGCUUCCCAGGGGUGCUGAGCACUAGUGGUGAGUGCAGAGAUGAGCGAUGCCGGAGACCAUCAUCUCCUUCACCUAACUCCAUUUGGGCUCCUCGGGGUACUUUUUCCUUUUCCCCUCUUUUUUUCUUCUCUCCAUUCUAGGCUCUGGGUGCUUUUUCAACUAGGUCCUGACUUCUGGAUUUCUGUGUUAUCUCUGUAUUGUCCAAUUUUAGCAAGAGUCCUGCUCAGCCAGUUCAGCUACACCCCCGACCCUCGAUAUCUGACAGGUUCCUCAUCCUCCACCCUCCGCCAGGCCACGUCUGAUCUCCCUGGCCUGCCCUCUGCAGGUCCUGUGAGGUUGGCUUAACCAGAGUCCUCCCUCUGAUGUCUCCUCUUAGUAAGUUUCCAUCCAGUGACCUUCCACCUUCUCCUUAGCUAUAAAUACCCACUUUUUCUUGUUGUAUUUACAGUUGGGACCAAUCUCUAUGCCCUUUUGCAAAGUGGUCCCUACUCAAGGUCCCUACAAAGGGGUCCCUUGAGUAAAGAUCAUGACCCUGCUUGACUAAAGCCUUCCUUAUCGUCUUU